GCACUGUGCUGGUUGUUGGGGUGGGGAGGUGACCCAAAGAUGAAUGACACAGGCCUUGAGCAGAAAGACCUUAGACAUAAUGGAGUUCUUAUUCUAGGCUCCACUGGUGGGCUUUAUGAGUUCCAGAGCCCCCUGAAAUGGUAUGAAAAAUUUCCUGGACAUGUGAGUGAGUGCACGGCUCUGGAGAGAAGGCUCAUGGCUUUCAUUAGUUGCUCAAAUGGGUUUUGAUCACCCUGAAGCACAAGGGUCACUGCUCUAAGGAAAGAGCGGACACACUGCAUGAGAUACAUGCUCAACAGAGAAAGCAUUGAGCUGAGCUGAGCUGAGCUGAGCUGAGCUGAGCUGAGCUGAGCUGGGCUGAGCUGGGCUGGGCUGUCAGGGGAAGGAGAGGAAGUCUUCAUGCAAAGACGGGAGCUCAGCUGGUCCUUGCUGAGCAGGAAGAGCUCCAGGGGGAAGAGAGGGGAGAAGGCACAAGAGGCAGAAGGUGUGGUCUGAGCCGAGGCCUGGAGGUGUGGGAGUGUGUGGUAUCUUUGGGGAGCAGUCUGUGGCCUGGGGGUGCUGGGGCGUGGAGUGUAUAAGGAGAUCCCUGCCGUUUGCCCAACAAAGAGGCUCUUUCAGGCUUGGGCUCAUGCACUGUCAUAUGGCCUCAGGUGAGUCCACACCCCAGAGAGGCUGCAGGAGAAACCAGUCAGUCCUCCCUCCACUGGGGGGCCAGGGCAGGGGGGCAAGCCAGCUGCCAGGAGAAGUCAAGGACGUUGUUCUAAUGAGGUAUGGCAAGGAAGCUUCUAGAUGCUUCUCUGUAUGGAGAGUAUAAAGCUGGUUGGCCCAAGCAGGUGCUGGGUGUGGGGCUGUUUUCCUCCAGAUAUGGCAUUAUGGGUGGGGGGACGAUGUCGGACGUGCGGAAGCCAAGAGAGAGAAGGAGGUCUUUUCUUUACACACCAAAACACUAAUCUGGGUCGGCUCUGCAUGGGACGGUUCUCCCAACAUCCAAACAGCAGAUCCCCCAGGUGGGCAGCCCCUGGGAACCCGAGAGAGGAAAGAGUUUGGAGACCCAGCCUUGGGGUCAGGGCAUCUGGUCACCAACAACUGGCCAGCUGCAGGCAGACCUGACUGGAGGGCGUCCAACACCCCAGGGCCCACCUCUGCCCCCGGAAGCAGUUCAGGCUGAACAAGAGCUUCUCGUUCCCAACUUGCCAGGCUCACUUCUCACUCAGGGCCCUGGGAGCGUCCGCUUAGAACCUCUGUCCCUCCUCCUCUUCCCACGGCUGGCUCCUCCUUAGAGUCGAGUUUCAUCACAAAUAUCCCUUCCAGGUUCAGGGGAACCUUCCCUGGCCACCCAGUCUGAAGUGGCUGCCCCCUUCCACCUCAAGCCCCUGACAACUGAUAUGCAGGCAGGCGGGGGAUCCUUGCACCCCGCUGCCCAAACAGCAAAUCCAGAGCAGCCCACUCCCAGGAAACACCUUCUCCAGCUGCCUGGCUCACUUUAGCCUAAGGUGAAAUAACACAGGAGGAGGUGCCCCAGGGCCUGGAGGCCUUUGCCAGCCAGAAGGACUGUGCCUGACAAACCUGUGCUGCCCCGCAGACCGGUCAGGCGUCUGCCACGGUGCCACCUGCUGGAAGAGGACUGGGCUCCAGCUCCUCUCUGUGUCCAGUGGACGCUCCAGGGAGUCCCCACUCUGCUCUUGGUCUCCCUUCCCAGAGGAGCCUUUCCUGAUCUCCUUCUUGAGGGUUGUCUCAACCAGGAAUCCCACAGAAGCCAAGGGGUCCCACAGUAUAGUCCUUAAUAUAUCAUCUUCCUAGCAAUUCCCAAGCAAUCAUCUCUCUAUUCAGGAUAAUAAAAUGGGAGGAAAAAAAAAUCCCCCCGUGAACAACAAACGUUUUCCAAAACUGAAGGAGAAAAGCAUUCUGAAGUCACACUGACUGUCUGGGUUAUAAUCCGGGCAGGAGGUUUUGGGGAAAGAAGACUGGUUGGGAGGUGGGCAUGGCGGUGAACACACAUACUCUUGGAAGAUCUCGCAGGCUGUGGUUGUGUGUGCCUGCGUGCAUGUGUGUUUGUGUGGGUGUUUGUGUAACGUGUGAGCUGCGGACACGUGAGCUUUUGCACUGGGCCUGUCGUCUGGUUAACUGAGAUUCAGGCUCCAUGCUCUCUCUUUGGCCAAAAGGCAGACAGAAAGACCAAAGGCCUGUGGCCUGUCCCAUGUCUGAAGAUCAUACCAGGCAUUUCCUGCUCUGGGCUUUAAUGACUGAGUUGAGUAAAGUGAGUUAGUACUUGUAAGGUGCUUAGCACAGUGCCUGGCAGCUAGCAGGUGUUCAAUACAAGAGAGCUAUUUGUAUAAGCACUGUGGCCAUUAUCAUUAACAAUGAAUGAAGCCCUGUAACUUGUCUGGCUACUUGUAACCUGUCUUGGCUACUUCUGAUGAUCUGAGUUGCUCUUUGCUGACUGGUUUCUCCAGCUCCACUCCUACUGUGCUCGUUCCUGUAUCCCCAGCAAGGCCUGGUACACUGUACUCUCAGUGAAUACUUAGUGGAAACAAGACUGAAGAACUCAGUGCCCCUGGUUCCGCAGGCCCUGGCUCUAUGACCAAAUCCAAAGCUAGUCCCUGGGGAGAAGUACUUCCUUUGCAGAGCCAGCUUCCAGACUCAGCCUUGCAGAGGGGCAGCGCCCGGCUUCCCCACCCCAGGCUGGUCUUGGACACACUCUCAGUCACCCAGUUCCCAUCUUCCGGGAGGAGGCAAUGCCUGAGCUGGGAUGACUCUGUCGCAUGGAAUUAGGAUUUUGUGCAUAAAAUAUUGAAUUUUACAUUUAAAGCUAUCUGUCGCAGAUGAUUUAUCAGACCCAGAGAAGGUGAAGAUAGUUUUCCUCUGUAAGGGAGGUGAUGUUUUAGCCAAGACAGGAUAUAUACACUAUGUAUAACCAAACCACGCAGUAAUCGGAGAUUAACGCUCUCCGUCCAGAGCCUCCAAGGAGGGGCCCAGGCGCUCGGAGGCCUCCACCUGCUCCCCUCCUCACACUCCAGGUCACAGGAGGGGGAUCGCUGGGAUUCAGGGUCCCACCAGGAGACGAAGAGUCACUUUUAGAUAGACUUAUCUGAGGCUGUUUUCCCUCCCUCCCCGCCACCUUUUAUUUGGCUUUGCCAGUAUAGCUGUGUAAGGUUCAGUCUUACAGUUAACGCAAAUGUUUGCAAAAAAGAGGCUUUUACAACUUAUUCCAUUCACCACUUAUCAGAUGCCUGGAAACUCAACUGAAAAACUGUCCCUGUUCUAGGAUGUCGACCUCCUACAGGAAGGAGAGCCUCUUCGGUCCUCAGACACACCUCGGAGGGGCAGAAAACACAACCCAUGGGGCAAAGGAGGGAAGAGACUGAAUUCAAAUGGCUGCCCCACCCCCAACAAGAGGAAACUGAGGCUCAAAGAGGUUAACCCAGUUACGCGAGGUCACGCAGCUGCACCCUUUCCCCGGCACCAGGACCAUCUCUCCAUCCUCCACAAUAAUCCCUUUAAGAGUUCAGAUUAAGGGGGUGCUUUUGGAGCCAGACUUGAGACGUGUGACUGGGCAAUUUCCUUAACUGCUUGAUGCUUCAGUUUCCUCAACUUUCCAUGGAGAUGGGCCUAGUAAUUAACAGUGGCUACCCUCACUGGGCCACGGCAUGUAAAGAAGAGGGCCUGGCACAGGAAGCACUCAAUCAGCUCAGCUGUUAUGAUGACUGUUAUUGACAUUAUUGCAUUUGCUAAGUGGAGCUGGGGGAGAAAGUACAGGGUGCUGGGUGUCCGGUGUCUGUCCUCUUGAGGACAGGAAGUGACCCAGGGCCAAGGGGCAGCAGGGAGGCCGGACACCAUGGGAAGACCCCUUCCGCCCCCCGCAGGAGGAGAAGCAGGGCUCACAGCCACAGGAAGGAAGACAGGACAGCAAGAGGGCGCACGGUCCAGACUGGAGCACAGGAUCUGCGAAUUUACCUAAUGAACAUCACAGGAGCAGCAGUGGGUCGAAAAGCUAAAUUUCCUGAUUUGGGAGCCGCUUAAUGAGGUUAUAAAAUGUGUUUCUCAUCACAUGUGGGCUGCCUGGGUUAGGGUCAGUGCUCAGGGCUUCACUCGUGUGACCACUGACAACAGUUUCCAGUCGUCGGGGAGACCUGAUCAGCAAUGUGGCUCUGGCCCUAGAGCUACAGCCCUCCCCAGCGGGGGAAAAAGACCACCCUGGCUUCAGAGAACACAGUUUUAAUCAAACAGGCAACAGUGAGAUACCAGUGAGUUAAUGAGCCACAUACCAGCAAUUAGGGGCUCCACAGAACCUACCAGAGCAACGGACCCGGACAGGAUUGUAAAAUGAAAACACCGGUUAGAGUACAACGUGUGCCCCGCGCAGCCAUUUGUAUAAAACUAGAUUUGUGUGUGAUGGUAUUGGUAAGAGGUUGGGGGUGUGGAGGGAGAAGGUGGGAGAGAGAAAAGAUGACGUGGGAGGAUGCUUAACAAAAUAUCAUCAAGAUCACUUUUGGAUGGUAGCAUUCAGUGAUUUUUUUUUUUUUUUACUCUCUUAUCAUGUUUGUUUUGUUUCAUUUAAAAAAACCUCGCAUUUGUUAUUUGAAAGGACAAUAAAUCAUGUUCAAUGGGA